GCGUGGGUGAAGAAGGCCUUCGGGUCGUAAAGCUCUGUCAGGUGGGAAGAAAAGAGCCGGAGUAAUGCCCGGCCUUGACCGCCACCAAAGGAAGCACCGGCUAACUCCGUGCCAGCAGCCGCGGUAAUACGGAGGGUGCAAGCGUUGUCCGGAAUCACUGGGCGUAAAGGGCGCGUAGGCGGCUUGGCAAGUCUGGUGUGAAAGCCCUCGGCUCAACCGAGGAAGUGCACUGGAAACUGCUGAGCUUGAGUGCGGGAGAGGGAAGCGGAAUUCCCAGUGUAGCGGUGAAAUGCGU
rnacentral:rRNA from 1 species